rnacentral:piRNA from 1 species
UGAUUUAUGCCAUCAAGCUCCUCAGAGAAGG